rnacentral:rRNA from 1 species
UCCGUAGGUGGACAAUUAAGUCAGAGGUGAAAGUUUGCAGCUCAACUGUAAAAUUGCCUUUGAUACUGGUUGUCUUGAAUUAUUGUGAAGUGGUUAGAAUAUGUAGUGUAGCGGUGAAAUGCAUAGAUAUUACAUAGAAUACCAAUUGCGAAGGCAGAUCACUAACAAUAUAUUGACACUGAUGGACGAAAGCGUGGGGAGCGAACAGGAUUAGAUACCCUGGUAGUCC